rnacentral:rRNA from 1 species
GAGUUUGAUCCUGGCUCAGGAUGAACGCUGGCGGCGUGCCUAAUACAUGCAAGUCGAGCGAACGGACGAGAAGCUUGCUUCUCUGAUGUUAGCGGCGGACGGGUGAGUAACACGUGGAUAACCUACCUAUAAGACUGGGAUAACUUCGGGAAACCGGAGCUAAUACCGGAUAAUAUUUUGAACCGCAUGGUUCAAAAGUAAAAGACGGUCUUGCUGUCACUUAUAGAUGGAUCCGCGCUGCAUUAGCUAGUUGGUAAGGUAACGGCUUACCAAGGCAACGAUGCAUAGCCGACCUGAGAGGGUGAUCGGCCACACUGGAACUGAGACACGGUCCAGACUCCUACGGGAGGCAGCAGUAGGGAAUCUUCCGCAAUGGGCGAAAGCCUGACGGAGCAACGCCGCGUGAGUGAUGAAGGUCUUCGGAUCGUAAAACUCUGUUAUUAGGGAAGAACAUAUGUGUAAGUAACUGUGCACAUCUUGACGGUACCUAAUCAGAAAGCCACGGCUAACUACGUGCC